rnacentral:tRNA from 1 species
GCCUGGGUAGCUCAGUUGGUUGAGCGUCUGACUUUGGCUUGGGUCAUGAUCUCUUGGUUCGUGGGUUUGAGCCCCACAUCGGGCU